rnacentral:rRNA from 1 species
AUUGAACGCUAGCGGGAUGCCUUACACAUGCAAGUCGAACGGAGUGGCGAACGGGUGAGUAAUGUAUCGGAACGUGCCCAGUCGCGGGGGAUAACUAUGCGAACUCGUAGCUAAUACCGCUUACUCUUGCCGCGGCCUAUAUCGGAUUAGCUAGUUGGUGGGGUAACGGCUCACCAAGGCGGAGAUCCGUAUCUGGUUUGAGAGUACGACCAGCCCGACUGGGACUGAGACACGGCCCAGACUCCUACGGGAGGCAGCAGUGGGGAAUUUUGGACAAUGGGGGAAAGCCUGAUCCAGCGAGGCCGCGUGUGCGAUGAAGGCCUUCGGGUUGUAAAGCACUUUUGGCAGGGAGGCGGUACCUGCAGAAUAAGCACCGGCUAACUACGUGCCAGCAGCCGCGGUAAUUC